CCUAAAAAAAUUCUGCUAAGGGGUAUUCUAGUCAUUUUAGUUUUUUCCUUAUACUAUUAUAACAUCAUUCCAUUCAACCAAACACAAGAAUGUUGUAAUACUCGAUUGUUGCCCGGGGCCCAAAACUAUUUUCACAGCCCAAGUAAACUAAAUACAUUUGGCCCAAUACGGCCCAAGACAUUGACCCAAGCCCAAAUCUAACCCUGGCCCAACUGCAAUGUGGCCAUCAACACCAAAAAAACAAACAGCAGUUACCCUAAGCAGUUCGCAGCAACCACGUGACAACAACCGCCCACGUACGGCAGCCUUUGCGUACGUCACGCACGACUUCUCGCCAGUGGUACCUGCAACGAGCCACGAACAAGUAGAUAUAACGGGAAAUAUAGCAAAAAUUGUAAAAAAAUUAUUAUUUUGGCUGUAUAUAUUUGGCUAUAAAAAGCCAAUUGUUUUCUGUAAUAGGGGUUAGCAAAAUUUUUUAUUGAAAUUAAAGAAAAUAAAAAGGAAAAAACAAAAAAGCAAGGAUUUUGAAGGUGAUUUUCUGGGUCUAUUUUCUUCUUGCUCAUUGAUUUCUUUGUUUUUUUUCCUUUGCGCACCAAACAAAAAAUAAAAGGAGGAGGAGAAAUCCUUACCAAAAGAUGCGCACUGUUGACAUUUUUGCUUCUUUUUGUCUAAAUCGAAGUUGAAAGGGGGGAGUUUGGCUUGAAAAACAGAGGAGAAGGUGGAGCAGUUCUUGAGGCUGCUGUUACCGCAAACGGGAAUGGGGUUUUAAUUAGAGUUUGAAAUGGGUUUUAACUUUUAAGCAUUGAUGGGUUAUUUUCGUUUUUAAUCCUUCCACUUUAUCCCAUCAUUUCAAAACCAUUCUUUUUUGUUUUCAAAUUUUUCCAUAAAAAAUCAAAUCUGUUUUAUUUUAGUCCAGUGUUGCGCAGCGUUUUGGGUGAUUUGGGUAAAUUUCUCUUUUGAUCCUCCUCCUGUUGGUCGCAUUUCAAUUCGGUCCCUUCUUGUGUUUUCUAUUUUUAAAUUUUGUUUUGAAAUUUCGUUUGUUUUCAAUUUAGUCGUUAAUCUGUUUUUUUUAUUAUUUCUUUUAUAUUAUUAAUUUUAUAUUAUUAAUUAUUAUUAUUGUUAUUAUUAUUAUUUCAAUGCAUGUAUGUACGCGCAUAUGUAUCUUAUAAUAUAUAUGUACAUAUUUAAAAUGGUUUUUAAUACAUAUGCAUAUCUUAUAUAUUUUAUUAUUAUUUUAUUCCUCUUAGUUUUAUAUACACAUAUAUACGUACGUAUAUUUAUAUUUUAUAAUAUUUAUAUAGUUUUUCACAUUUUAUAAUCCAAAAAUAUAUAUAUUAUAAUAUACAUAUAUAUACAUACACUAUUCAAAAUUAUUUUACAUAUAUUUUUCGCAUUUUUUUUCCUCUUUAUAUGUACAUAUAUAUACAUAUUUUCAUAAUUUAUUAAUAUAUUUUACUGAUAUUAUUUAUUUAUUUAUUUUAGAUACCUAUACCUAUACAUAUUUUAUAUUUUAUAUUUUAUUUUUAUAACUUUUAUAUACAUGUUUUAAUAUAUGCAUGCACAUAUUUUUUCAAAUUCACUUAUAUAUCAUAUUUUAUUUUGCAAAUACAUAUACAUAUAUCAUUUAAAUUGAAGUAAUUGUUUCAUGUUAUGCAUCAACAUUUUAAAAAAAAAAACAUUUUGGUUUCGUUAAAGUACCAAAAUCAUCAUAUUUUAUAAAUUUUCAAAAUAUUUAGUAUUCAUGAUUCUCGAGAAAGAUCGUGUCCUAACUUACUGGAUCGUGGUUACUUUUCGAUGAAUUUAGAAAACCAAGUAUUCAUUUUGCAAUAAAUUCACACAAAUUUCAAAUAAAAGCUUAUUCUCGAGAAUCCAAAAAUGUCGGGUCCUAACUUACUGGUCAUGACAUUUUGUUAUCUCGAAAUAAGAAUUCUUAAAACAAAAAGUAAUAUUCGGUAUUUGGAAUUUUGAGAAGUCGUGCCCUAACUUACUGGGUUUCGAUUUUCUUCAUUCAACUUAGAUAACCGAAUAUUCUUAGAUUUAACCGUGUGAGUUUAAAAAUCAAAAGCAAACUUAAUUUUGAAAAUUUAAAAAUAUUGUGCCAUAACUUACUGGGUGUGAUGUUUAUUUCUUUGAAAUAGGAAUGUUUUAUUAUUUUAAUUCAUUCAUGAGAUAAAAAGUUUUUCUUUUAAAAUUUUUUCAAAAUUUUCGACACCAAGCCAUUAAACAAUCAAUUCGGUACCGAUUUUGGGCGUCACGACGGUGCUAACUCUUCCUCGUGCGUAACUGACUCCCGAACCUGUUUUCUCAUAAUUCGUAGACCAAAAUUGUUUUAAAGGUGAGCCGAUCACACUUUAACAAAGGAUUGGUGGCGACUCCAAUUUUUAUUUUUUCAAAUCGAUAACAAAUUUUUGUUUUUCAAAAAAUGGUUUGGACAGCUUGGCGACUCCACUGGGGACUCUUAGAGAGUCGAGCCAUGAAUUGAUUAUUUUUGUCUUUUUGUCAAAAAUUGAAAAGUUAUUUUAAAUCAUGAUUUCCCUUUUCCAUUCAUUGAUUUUUAUUGUCAUAUGUUUUGUUUGGUUGACUUAAAUCUGUUAGCUUAUUUGCAUUUUGCAUUUCAUAAAGUCGGUUUUUACCCCUUUAAGUGGGAGCGAGAAGCUAGUACUUCGUGAGGUUUUCACCUCCGUGCAGGGUAGUGGACCGCUUUCGGGAGACAUCUGUACCUAUGUCUUCGAGAGAUUUUCAUCUCCGUGCAGUCACAGGGAAAUGUAUUCCCCUGAACUGAACUCGGUCUAUAUGAGCCUAUAAUGGGUGAGGAUCGAGGAAUCUGCUGGUUUGGGUACCGUUGCUUCAGAAGCCAAACCUCAUAUUGAAACUUAGGAACCCACCCUAGGUAGAAUUACUCUCUACCUUAGUAGACACCUCAUUGGAGCUUUUACUAUUUCUUGGUCGUAUUGUAUUUAAUUGAUACUGAUUUUUUGUGUUUUACUUUGAUUGCAUGGCAUAUCAUUAUAAAGGCGUUGGUUCGUGUUCGGUUGCUCGAUAGAAAGUUUAUCAUGGGAAAUGGGUUUCUUGAUAGAAUGGAGGACAAUGCGGCUGUCCAAACUUGGGCUGAGAGGGCGCAACGCGAAAAAGGUGAUAGUUUAGCCGAGGGGUAUGUAUCAGAAUUAUGAGACUUCACCCGUGUCAUCGUAGCCCAGAACAACUUGCAAGAGUUAAAGGAAAUUUGGGAUCAAUGGAAUAUUGAGGUUAGACAGUUAUUCUAUUCAAAUUAUGGGAAUUUACCUUAUUUGCUUGAUAUGAAGGUAGACAAGCGUCUGCUUCGAGCUCUUACCCAAUUUUGGAAUCCAGCCUAUAGUUGCUUCACGUUCGGGAAGGUUGAUUUGGUACCUACAAUAGAAGAAAACAUGGCCUUACUUCGGUGUUCGAGAAUUCAAGUAGACAGAAUCUACUCGAAAGCGAUAAAUGUACCGACUUUCUUGAGGAAGCUGAUGAAUAUAACAGGGAUGAGUGAGUAGUGGGUUACAGCUCGGAUCAAGCAAAAGGGAGAUAGUAGGUGCAUUCCUUGGAAAAUUUUGAAGGAUCUCAUUUUAGCACACCCAGAUGCGAGGUAGAAGGUAGAUAUCUUUGCUUUAAGUAUAUAUGGUUUGGUUAUGUUCCCUAAGACUUUGGGGCAUGUUGACGAAGCGGUCACUGACUUAUUUGAUCAGCUUGAUAAGAGAGUUACACCAGUUCCGGUAAUCUUGGCAGAAACCUUCAGGUCACUGAAUGCAUGUCGAAGAGCAGGAGAAGGUAGAUUCAUUGGAUGUACGCAACUCCUACUUGCAUGGUUCCACAGUCACUUUUGGUAGGUUGAUAAAGUUUCAUAUCAAGUUUUCUCUGAAGGUUAUUCACCAUUGAAGGAGAUAGUGACUACGCCAAAGAGGGAUGACAUCUCGUAGAAGAAAUGGAUGGCAAUUUUUCAGAGUUUGCAAGAGGAGGAUAUCGAGUGGAGAGCUCCAUGGUUACUUCCGGAUGAGAUCCUAUAUCGGUAUGGGGAUUUUGACUGGGUUCCUUUACUCAGAAUUUGGGGAGCUGUUGGUUAUGCCCCAUUGCUAGUGUUAAGGUAAUACAGGUCAAGGCAGUUUGUGCCUGCAACUCAGGGACUGGCUGAGUGUGAAUUCUCGUAUAAAGAUGGUGGUUAUAAAAAGAAGGCUCAUGAGAUGGCCAAUUCAUGGAAUCAAACUCACCGAAUAAAGAGAUUAGCUGUGGGCCCAAUGACAACUCCCGAGUAUAAUGAAUGGUGGGUUAAGAGGAUUAAUGACAAUACUCCUGGGCCAAAUUCAGAAAGUAGUCAAUCGAUGGAGGAGCAUUUGCGAGUCGUCCCUUCUGAGUUGGAAAUCAUAAAGCAGGACUUUGAAAGAAAAAAAUGCAGAAUUAGAGAAGAAAAUAGAGCAAAUGGAGGAAAAAAAAUGAAUUUGAGACUAGAUGUGGAUGUUUAAAAGCUCGAGGCUGAUAAACUAAGGAAGGGAAAGAGUAAGGCCGAAGAGGAAUUAGAUAGCUUGAAGACAGAUUACAAAAAGUUGCGUCUGUCAAUGAGAACUGCCGGGCUUGGAAAAACCUCAGAACAGUGGCGUGAAAAAAUUUGAGAAGAAAGAAACAGGUCAGACUAGUGGGAAAGAAAAUUUCAAGAGGUUCAAGCACGAAACGAAGCAUUAGAAAAGAGCUUGUCAGAGGGCCAAAAGGAAAAAAGUGAGUUGAAGGACAGGGUGGUUGAGUUAGAAAGGUUUCUUCGUCAGCAUAGAAGUCGAAAUUAUGUAGUAGAGCUAAAGGCAAGUUUAAACAAGAUUGAAGAAAUGAAGGGUAAAAUAGAGGGGUUAGAAGCAGCAUUGUGAAGUUGUGAGGUUCGGAUUGAGCAUCUAGAGGCAAAGGAGGGUCGUUAGAUUGAGCAACUUUAUUAUUUCCAAAAUCAAGUAAGAGACAGGGAUCAUGUUAUGGGAGAAGCUGUGGUUCAGAUUCGAGAGGUAGCAGAUCACCUACAAGCUUUAGCAAUACAGGCCGACGUGUUAAGCGUGAAGUAUGAAUUGGAGUCAGAUCGAGGACGAGACUUGGCCUCGUUACUUAAAAGGAUUAAAGUCUUGAGUAUUAGGGUAAAACCUUAUUUGUAGUUCAUUUUAUGUAAAAAGAUUUGUUUUCUAAUAAAGUUUUCUAAAAGUAAUUGAACUCAGAAUUGAUGUCUUUUUUGCAUUCAUUUUCAUGCAUCGUAUCAUAUGCAUUAAAAAUUGUUAAAUGGUUCUAAUUAAUCAAAAUCAUCCUUCAGUUAACCUAGAAACUAGCCGGUCAACCUAACACUAUUACGGUACACGAGCGAAAAUAAAAAGUAUGGACCAAAUGUUGAAAAAGCUCGAGCAGUUCCAGAAAGAAAUGCAGUAUCAACUUCAGCAGCAAAUGCAGGAGCAGCUUGAGAAGAUCCAACAGAAGAUGGUGGACAAAAUGGUAGAAUCUCAAGGAAGCAUGAUGACACAGUUAACCCGACUAUUGACGGAAGGAAAGGAUAAAGGAAAGAGCCCUAUGGUUAAUGUCGAAGAGGAAGGUGGUGAAAGACCCUUAUAUUCUCCAGGCUUUACACCUCCGCAUGCGCAGCCCCAAGUCGAAGUAUACCCACGCAAAUAUUCUGUUACGAUUAGGCCUCAGAAAUUUCAAGCUGAUGCUUCACGAUUGAUGAAUUACCAAGUCGGAUCAGGCUCUAGCCCUGAGGAUAAUCUUGUCACUCCUGUUGUUCCUGAUUUUGAGGAGGCGGUUGAAAAAGAGAAAACAAAAGAAGAAUUACCAAAGCAAUUAGAGGAAAGAUGGAAAUGGAUUGAAGAGAAAUUCAAAGCGUUGGAAACUAUUGAGAGAUGUCAUGGGAUUGAUGCUAAGGAUUUAAGUUUGGUACCAGAUUUGGUGCUUCCUUACAAGUUUAAAAUGCCGGAAUUCGAGAAGUAUAAUGGAACCAGUUGCCCAGAAGCUCAUAUCACCAUGUUUUGUAGAAGAAUGACCGGAUAUGUUAAUAAUGACCAAUUGUUGAUACACUAUUUUCAGGAUAGCCUCAUGGGAGCAGCAUCUAAAUGGUAUAAUCAGUUAAGCCAUACUAAGAUUAGUUCCUGGAGGGAUUUGGCACAUGCUUUUAUGAAACAGUACAGUCAUGUGGCAGAAAUGGUUCCUGAUAGGAUUACUUUGCAGAACAUGGAGAAAAAGUCGAAUGAAGGUUUUAGACAGUAUGCUCAGAGGUGGAGGGAGGUGGCAGUGCAGUUCCACUCCUUGAAAGAGAAAUGACGAUGCUCUUUAUAAAUACGCUGAAAGCCCCAUUCAUUACACAUAUGUUAGGAAGUGCCACGAAAAGCUUUUCUGACAUAGUCAUGAGUGAUGAGAUGAUUGAAAGUGCUAUAAGGAGCGGGGGGAUUGAUGUUGAAGAGAACAACAGAAGGCAGGCCUCAAAGAAAAAUGAGGUGAACAACGUGAAUACAUACAACAAAUCAAUUACGGUGAAGCAGCCUAGAAAAGUAGUGGCAAGUCAACAGGGUUCAUCAAAACAGGAAUCUGGUGCGAUGCCAAGUACUGAAAGGCCUCAGUUCACACCCAUUCCUAUGUCGUAUAAAGAAUUGUAUCAGAAUUUAUUCAAUGCGCAUGUUGUUUCCCCAUUUUACUUGACUCCGUUACAGCCUCCGUACCUUAAGUGGUAUGACGCAAAUGCACAAUACGAUUUCCAUGUAAGAGUUACGGGGUAUUCUAUAGAACAUUGUACUUCUUUUAAAAAGCUUGUUGAAAGGCUCAUUAAGAUGGAUGUUGUCAAGAUAGAUGAUUCAUCAGGCACGAAAAAUCCAUUACCCAAUCAUAUUGAUGCCGGGGUAAACAUGAUGGGUGAAAGUAUGGGGAGAAAAGUCAAAGAAAGUAUUGCUGAGGUAAAAAUCCCUUUGAAGAGGGUUUGAAAAGAAAUGGUGGAAAGAGGGUUAAUCGUCUCGGAUUUAGUGAGAGGUGGUGAGACCCAAAGUUAUUGUGAGUUUCAUCAUGAGGUGGGAUACGAAAUUCAGAGAUGCGAGGAAUUUAGAGCUCUGGUUCAGAGCUUGAUGGAUAAUAGAGAAGUAGAGUUUUUUGAAGAGGUGGAAGGAAAAGGAAGUGUACGUGCGUUAGAGUCAGCGAAACAAGGAUUCCGAGGGUUAAUCAUCCUGUGAUCAUCAUCUUGAACCCUAAGGUUAAUGAGGUUAGGGCACAGGUGAUGCCGAAGAUUUUAAUUCAGAAGCCAACAAAGUUUUCAUACAAGGAUAGUAAGAAGGUCCCCUGGAAUUAUGAGUACGAUAUAACAGUCUCGGGAAAGGAAGCUUUAGUUAGUGUUCCAAAAGAAAACCAAAAGACAGGUUCUUAUGCAAAUGAUGAGAUGUACUGCAGUCGGAUAAAUGCCCAAGCAGAGUCAACGGAGGGAGAAUUCUUAUGGCAGAGCAAAAGGAAGAGAGGCCAUUGAUUAAUGAGCCAAUAAAGGAGGAAGAAGCUACUGAAUUCUUGAGAUUUUUGAAGCACAGUGAGUAUAGCGUGGUAGAGCAGCUGCAUAAACAGCCAGCUCGUAUAUCUGUGUUGGCCUUGCUCAUGAGUUCAGAGGUGCAUCGAAAUGCGCUGAUAAAUACAUUAAAUGAAGCAUACGUGGUAAGUGAUAUUUCUGUCAACCUAUUGGAUCGGUUGGUCAACAAUAUAAGUGUUGAUAAUUUUAUCUUCUUCAACGAUGACGAAAUACCAUCUGGAGGUAUGGGGUCCACUAAAGCUCUGCACAUUACUGCUCGGUGUAAAGGAAGUAUGGUGUCGGGAGUUUUAAUUGAUAAUGGAUCCACAUUGAAUGUACUGCCCUUAUCUACUCUCAAUAGACUACCUAUAGAUAGCUCACAUAUGAAAACAUGUCAAAAUGUGGUGAGGGCAUUCGAUGGAACGGAAAGGAAGGUUUUGGGAAGGAUUGAGAUACCGUUGCAGAUUGGCCAAAAUACUUAUGAAGUGGAUUUCAUUGUAAUGGAUAUCAACCUUUCUUAUAAUUGUUUGUUGGGAAGACUUUGGAUACAUUCGGUGGGGGCUGUACCGUCAUCGUUGCAUCAGAAGUUGAAGUUAGUGACAGAGGGACGGUUAGUGACCAUAAAUGUUGAGGAGGGUACUAUUGCGUCAAUAACCAGUAAUGCACCGUACGUGGAAACGGAUGAGGAGGUAGUGGAAUGUUCUUUCCGAACCUUAGAGUUUGUGAAUGCAACAUUUAUUGCCGAAGGGAGUAGAAUUCUAGUGCCGAAUAUAUCCAAUGCUACAAGAAUGAGUCUUCAAUUAGUAGUAGGAAGAGGAGCUGUUCCGGGAAAAAGGAUUGGGAAGAUAUUUGCAAGGAGGAGUUAGGGUACCAGUAAUGAAAGAAAAGUAUGAUCGUUUUGGUCUAGGUUAUAAACCAGAUGUAAAACAAAAGAGAAAAGAAAUGGAGAGAAGAAGGUCACCCCUGAAUGGAAAUGAGGUUAAGUGGGAACCUAUGGCUUUUCCUCACAUAUCCAAGACAUUCGUAUCAGGGGGUUCAUUCAUCCUGAGCGAAGAAUGCUUAAAGUAAAAAAUGUUGAAGAAAUGCUGGGAGAUAUCCACAUUAAUGCCUUAGACACAUUCGAGAGAGGGACACUGUUAGAGAUUCGCCCUUAUGAACCUGGAAGUGAGCUAAACAAUUGGACUGCGGAAGAGAUUCUUGUAGUUUUUAGAGCUCUUUCAGAGUAAAUGUCCAGAACAUCCUUGUUGUUUUAACAUUAGGAAUUUCUUUAUAUGCACAUGUGAAACGUUAUGAUUCUAAUAAAUUCACUUUUCGUAUUAAAGCCAGUAGUCUUUUUCAUUCUUUUUUUUGAAUAAUUAUUCUUUUAUUCUUUUUCCAUAUCAUUCAUUUUUUUCAUUCAUAAUCAUAUUCGUUCAUAAAUUCAUUGUUUGUAUAUUCUUUGGCGCCUACCAUAGGUUCCCAGAUAUCAAUGAUUUGAAUGACGAUGCUUCAGACUCAGAAUCCCCUUUUGAGCAAGACGUGUGUUUAGAGGGAUCACAUGAUUUUGAAGAUGACGUAGACCGUGAUGUAUCUUUGGAUUUAUUGAGAAUGGUAUAACAGGAGGAUAAGCAAAUCUUGCCUCAUAAAGAAUCAUUAGAGAUUGUGAACCUAGAGGAAGAAAAGGAGGUAAAGAUCAGAACUGACGUUACUGCCAAGACAAGGCGAAACCUCAUCGAAUUACUCUGUGAAUUCAAAGAUGUCUUUGUAUGGUCAUAUCAGGAUAUGCCCAAGUUAAGCACUGAUAUUGUGGUACACCGUCUUCCUAUAAAGGAAGAUUGCAAGCCAGUUCAGCAGAAGCUCAGGAGAAUGAGGCCUAACAUUGUGUUAAAAAUAAAAGAAUAAGUCAAAAAACAAUUUGACGUUGGGUUCCUGCAAGAAGUCAAAUAUUCAGAGUGGGUAGCCAACGUAGUCAUUGUCCCUAAAAAAGAUGGAAAAGUAUGAAUGUGUGUGGAUUACAGGGAUUGGAAUAGAGCCAGUCCAAAGGAUAAUUUUUCGUUGCCUCACAUUGAUACUUUAGUGGAUAAUACGGCAGGUUAUUCGUUGUUUUCUUUCAUGGAUGGUUUUUCUGGGUACAAUCAAAUAAAGAUGCAUCCGGAAGAUAUGAGAAAGAUCACAUUUAUUACUUUGUGGGGGACGUUCUGUUAUAAAGUGAUGCCCUUUAGGUUAAAGAAUGCGGAGACAACUUAUCAAAGAGCUAUGGUAACUUUUUUUCAUGACAUGAUGCACAAGGGGAUUGAGGUUUAUGUUGAUGAUAUGAUUGCAAAGUCUAAAAUGGAAGAAGAGCAUGUUCAGAUUCUGCGGAAGUUAUUUUUGAGACUAAGGAAUUUCUAGCUCAAGCUUAAUCCAACGAAGUGCACUUUUGGAGCUAGAUCAGGGAAGUUUCUGGGCUUCAUAGUCAGCGGGAAAGGAAUUGAGGUUGACCCAGACAAAGUCAGGGCAAUACGAGAUUUACCUGCACCACAUACUUAGAAAGAAGUACGAGGAUUUCUGGGAAGAUUGAAUUAUAUUGCUCGGUUUAUUUCACAACUAACUGAGAAAUGUGAUCCCAUAUUCCGUCUUCUGAAGAAGCAUAAUUCAGGUGUGUGGGAUGAAGAAUGUCAGAAAGCUUUUGACAAAAUAAAGUGGUACUUGUCCAACACUCCAGUGCUAUUGCCACCUAGCCCAGAUAGGCCAUUAAUACUGUAUUUAGAGUAUUUGACAAUUCAAUAGGGUACGUGUUAGGCCAACAUGAUGAAACAGGAAGAAAAGAAAGGGCAAUAUAUUAUCUUAGCAAGAAAUUCACUGAGUGUGAAGUGAGGUACUCGUUCAUUGAGAAGUUGUGUUGUGCUUUGGUGUGGACAACUCAAAGAUUACGGCAUUAUAUGUUGUAUCAUACGAGAUGGCUAAUUUCAAAGUUGGAUCCCUUAAAGUAUAUGAUAGAGUCGACUGCUUUGAAUGGGAGGAUGGCUAGAUGGCAGAUCUUGCUUUCUAAAUUCGACAUAGUGUAUGUGAGUCAGAAGGCCGUAAAAGAGAGCGCAAUAGCUGACUUUUUAGGUAGUAGAGCCUUGGAGGAUUAUGAGCUUUUAAACUUUGAUUUUCCAAAUGAGGAUUUGAUGUAUGUGGCAGUUACUGAAGAAAAUCCCCAAAUGGAUCAUGUGUGGAAGCUAAAUUUUGAUGGAGCCUCAAAUGCUGUGGGUAAUAGAAUUGGGGCAAUCCUAGUAUCUCCAAGUGGAGAUCACUAUCCUGUUGCUAGCAAACUAGAUUUUGAUUGUACGAACAAUAUGGCAGAAUAUGAAGCGUGCAUUAUAGGCGUUCGUGCAGCCAUCGAAUGUAAGAUCAAAGUGUUAAAAGUGUAUGGUGAUUCUACAUUGGUGAUAUACCAACUCAAAGGAGAAUGAGAGAUAAGAGACCCUAAACUGAUCAAUUAUCGAAAGAUGGUUCUGAAAUUGAUGGACGAGUUUGACGACAUCACUUUUUGUUACCUUCCACUAUAUGAGAAUCAGAUGGCUGAUGCAUUGGCCACCCUAGCCUCUAUGAUCCGAGUGAAUAAGUUAGAGGACAUUAAUCCUAUUCAGAUGAGUAAUUCUAAAACACCGGCUCGUUGCUAUAAUGUUGAGGAGGAGGGAAAAGAUGACUAUCCCUGGCAUUUGAAUAUAUUUUGAUAUGUGAAAAAUCGUGAGUAUCCAGAUCAGGCGACGGAGAAUGAUAAGAGAGCAUUGAGAAGAAUAGCUAUUGACUAUGUUCUAGAUGGAGAGGUCCUGUACAAAAAAGGGAAGGAUCAAGUACUGCUAAGAUGUGUGGAUACAGUAGAAGCUAGAAAAAUUCUAGAGAAGGUCCAUGAGGGUAUUUGCGGAAUGCAUGUAAAUGGUUUCACGAUGGCCAAGCAGAUCAUGAGAUUUGGGUAUUAUUGGUCUACUAUGGAAAGAGAAUCAACUAUGCUAGGAAAUGCCAUAAAUGUCAAAUUUAUGGUGAUAAAUUGCAUGCACCUCCUUCACCUCUUCAUGUUAUGACUUCUCCGUGGCCUUUCUCUAUGUGGGGUAUGGAUUUCAUUGGGCCAAUAUCGCCAAAGGCUUCUAAUGGGCAUCGCUUCAUCUUUGUGGUUUUUGACUACUUUACCAAAUUGGUGGAAGCUGCUUCUUAUGCAAAUGUCACGAAGUCAGCAGUUAGCAGAUUCUUGAAAAAGAAGAUCAAAUGUUGAUAUGGAAUUCCCGAGAGGAUCAUAUCUGAUAAUGCGUUGAAUUUGAAUAAUAGCACGAUAGCAAAGGUCUGCAGUCAAUUCAAGAUCAGACACCAUAACUCGUCGCCAUAUCGCCCAAAGAUGAAUGGCGCAGUAGAAGCAGCCAAUAAGAAUAUCAAGAGAAUUGUGGGGAAGAUGACCGAGACCUACAAAGACUGGCAUGAGAAAUUACCAUUUGCUCUCUUUGCUUAUAGAACGUCUGUUAGGACUUCGACCGGGGCGACACCUUUCUCUCUGGUUUAUGGGAUGGAAGCAAUUUUACCCAUUGAGGUGGAAAUUCCUUCUCUUCGGGUAUUGGCUGAGUUAAAAUUGGAUGAGGUAGAAUGAGCUCAGUCUCGUUAUUAUCAGUUGAACUUAAUAGAAGGGAAAAGGCUAAAGGCUAUUCAACGCGGUCAGAUGUAUUAAAGGCGAAUGAUGCGAGCCUACAACAAAAAAGUUCGUCCUAGAGAAUUUCAUGAGGGUGAGCUAGUGUUGAAAAAGAUCCUUCCCAUACAAAAAGAUUUUAGAGGAAAAUGGAUGCCAAAUUGAGAGGGUCCAUAUAUUGUAAAGAAAGCCUUUUCGGGUGGAGCUUUGAUUUUGAGUGAGAUGGAUGGCAAAGACUUACCAAACCCUGUAAACUCAGAUUCAGUUAAGAAAUACUUUUUUUUAAAAUAAUAAUAAUAAUAAUACUUUUACAAAGGAAAUUUUGCAUAUAACUCUGGAAAUUUCUAAAUAAUAUAGGGACCUGAAACAAGGUCAUUGUUUAGAAUACACCAAGUUCAAGGGUUGAAAUGUCUAAAAAGGAAAAUAUUAAAAGUAAGAUUAUCCUUUUGUUUUUAUCAAUCAAAUACUGACUGAACAAAAUGGCAAAAUGUAGUAAUGGUGACAAAGCUUGAUCACCUUGCGAUAAGAAGAAGUUGUUCUUGGAGAGGAAAAUUCAUUAUUUGUGCAUGAGCAUUUGGUAUGACACCCUGGGAAUGGUGUAAGAGACCAAAGAGUGUCACAUUCAGUAUCCUUGAAUUGUGAUAGCAGAGGAUUGAGAAAAGGCCAUAUUUUUUUUCUCGUGGGUUACAACGGGAGAAAGAUGGUACAAAUUUUGCGUCCCAGUGGAUUAAACUUGGAGGUUUACAGUAGGGGGCAAUCUGGUCAAGUGCUUCUUUGGAGACGCCAGCCGAGCAAAAGGUGCUAUAGCAUAUUAGUGAUGAAACCUUAAUAAACUUGGAGUAAUAAUAACUCAAACAUUAAAAUAUCAUUUUCAUGACAUUCUGCAUCCAUUCAAAUGUCAUUCAUACAUGUCUAGUUAGGAGUGUUUGAUUCAUUCUGAUCAUGACAUCCUAAUUACUAGGCAUAAUUAGGUUCAUAAAAUGAAUUAUAUAGGUCAUGUUCUCUAGAGAACAGAUCAAAUAUAGCAGAUCUUGUCUUCCCAUACUGGUGGCGAAGUAGAUCGAAGAAAGCAGAUCUUGUCUUCAUGUAUUGGCGUGAAGUAGAUCAAAGAUAGCAGAUCUUGUCUUCCCAUACUGGUGGCGAAGUAGAUCAAAGAUAGUAGAUCUUGUCUUUAUGUAUCGGCGUAAAGUAGAUCAAAGAUAGCAGAUUUUGUCUUCCCAUACUGGUGGCGAAGUAGAUCAAAGAUAGCAAAUCUUGUCUUCAUGUAUUGGCGUGAAGUAGAUCAAAGAUAGCAGAUCUUGUCUUCCCAUACUGGUGGCGAAAUAGAUCGAAGAAAGCAGAUCUUGUCUUCAUGUAUUGGCAUGAAAUAAAUCAAAGAUAGCAGAUCUUGUCUUCAUGUAUUGGCGUGAAGUAAAUCGAAGAUAGCAGAUCUUGUCUUCCCAUGCUGGUGGCGAAGUAGAUCAAAGAUACAAGUUUUAUCUCCCUGAAGUUGCAGUGGAGCAGAUUGAAGAAAAUGAUCCUAUCUCCUUGAAGUUGCAGUGGAGCGGGUUAAAAUCAGAUCCUAUCUCUCUGAAGUUGCAGUGAGCGGAUUAAAAAACCACAAGUCUUAUCUCCCUAAAGUUGUAGUGGAGCAGACUAAGGAUAGCAAAUUUUGUCUUUUGAGAAGUUACAAGUAGAGUGGGUCGAAGCAUCAAUACCUUCGAAGAUGCAGUAGGUUGAAAUGGGGCUACCUAAAGAAGAAUAGCACCAAGGUCCAACACGACCGGGCAAAAUUGGCCAUUUUUAGAGUAUUUGCUAUGUUCCCAUUACAUGAUAACAAGCAAAGAGGGGCAACUGUAAUACCCAAUUGUUGCCCGGGGCCCAAAACUAUUUUCACAGCCCAAGUAAACUAAAUACAUUUGGCCCAAUACGGCCCAAGACAUUGACCCAAGCCCAAAUCUAACCCUGGCCCAACUGCAAUGUGGCCAUCAACACCAAAAAAACAAACAGCAGUUACCCUAAGCAGUUCGCAGCAACCACGUCACAACAACCGCCCACGUUCGGCAGCCUUUGCGUACGUCACGCACGACUUCUCGCCAGUGGUACCUGCAACGAGCCACGAACAAGUAGAUAUAAAGGGAAAUAUAGCAAAAAUUGUAAAAAAAAAUUAUUAUUUUGGCUGUAUAUAUUUGGCUAUAAAAAGCCAAUUGUUUUCUGUAAUAGGGGUUAGCAAAAUUUUGUAUUGAAAUUAAAGAAAAUAAAAAGGAAAAAACAAAAAAGCAAGGAUUUUGAAGGUGAUUUUCUGGGUCUAUUUUCUUCUUGCUCAUUGAUUUCUUUGUUUUUUUUCCUUUGCACACCAAACAAAAAAUAAAAGGAGGAGGAGAAAUCCUUACCAAAAGAUGCGCACUGUUGACAUUUUUGCUUCUUUUUGUCUAAAUCGAAGUUGAAAGGGGGGAGUUUGGCUUGAAAAACAGAGGAGAAGGUGGAGCAGUUCUUGAGGCUGUUGUUACCG
rnacentral:lncRNA from 1 species